GUGCAGCAGCGCGGUAAUACCGGCAGCCCGAGUGAUGGCCGAUCUUAUUGGGCCUAAAGCGUCCGUAGCUGGCUGCGCAAGUCCGUCGGGAAAUCCACUCGCCCAACGAGUGGGCGUCCGACGGAAACUGCACAGCUUGGGACCGGAAGGCUCGAAGGGUACGUUCGGGGUAGGAGUGAAAUCCCAUAAUCCCGCACGGACCACCGAUGGCGAAAGCACUUCGAGAUAACGGAUCCGUCAGUGAGGGACGAAAGCCAGGGUCUCCAACCGGAUUAGAAACCCCAGUAGUCC
rnacentral:rRNA from 1 species